GUAUAAGGCUAUGUCCGCUCUUCCCAAGCAUCUGAAAUGUGAAGCAGCCCUGUAGUGAUAUUACAUACAUAGGAAACUGCAUGUAUUACAAUAAGAUUAGUAGUCACAAAGUGUAUUUCUGUACCUCUCUGAAUUACUGUGUGCUGAACAGCUAAUUGUUCUUGUCUAAUUUCUGAGUGUACCUGUUGGUGCUUUCUACUGGUUUUAGAAUGUGUACUGCAGAAUAUUCCAAAUGUUCCUGAUGGCAACUCUGAAGAAAGUGAAUCUGCUUCUACCUCCCCCAAUGAAGGUGAUAUCAGUGGCUCUACUGAUGAGGGCUGGUGCAAUAUAUAUACUGACCUGGAUGUGUGGGAUGGUGAAGUUUCCAAUGUACCCAAGUCUUCAGGGCAGCAAGAUGCAUCUGAGCAUGAGGUGGAGGACUGGGAUAAAGAAUUGGAGGAGGCUGCAUCUGGUCCUUAUGAUGCUGACGAUCUCUGCGGCGGAAGCUUUGAGGAAAAGAAUGUUUUCGGCUCAUAUGUGUGGAAGGAGGAUUGGUUUUACCACCCAAGCUGUCACCACACACCUUGCCUUGUGUUUCCACCACGAGUUAGAACAGUUGAGAAGGGCCAGUUUGAUGAUGCUGAUGAAUGAGGUUGAGUCUGGUCAGAAGGGUUUCAGUGGCAAUGUGCACAGGAGGAGUUCAGCUGCAUUCAGCUCCUGUUAGUUUAUGUACCCCAAAGAGAUGAGAGUGACUCUCCAGAGAGCCUCAGCUGGGACUGGACCCGAGUGACAGAGAACUCCAAAAAGAGCCAGAUCUGAGUAAAGGUUUGGACUGAACAUUGCUGGUUUUAAUUUCUUUUUUAAUCAGAUUUUGUUC
rnacentral:lncRNA from 1 species